GUGGGGAAUCUUCCGCAAUGGACGAAAGUCUGACGGAGCGACGCCGCGUGAGUGAAGAAGGCCUUCGGGUCGUAAAGCUCUGUCAUCAGGGACGAACGGCCGGUGGAGUGGAAAGCCACCGGAUUGACGGUACCUGAGAAGGAAGCCACGGCUAACUACGUGCCAGCAGCCGCGGUAAUACGUAGGUGGCAAGCGUUGUCCGGAAUUAUUGGGCGUAAAGCGCGCGCAGGUGGGAUCUUAAGUCCAUUUUUAAAGUUCGGAGCUCAACUCCGUGAUGGGAUGGAAACUGGGAUUCUUGAGUACCGGAGAGGAAAGCGGAAUUCCCCGUGUAGCGGUGAAAUGCGUAGAUAUGGGGAGGAACACCAGUGGCGAAGGCGGCUUUCUGGACGGUGUCUGACACUGAGGCGCGAAAGCGUGGGGAGCAAACAGGAUUAGAUACCCGGGUAGUCC
rnacentral:rRNA from 1 species